CACGUAGGGUGCAAGCGUUGUCCGGAAUUAUUGGGCGUAAAGGGCUCGUAGGCGGUCCGUCACGUCGGGAGUGAAAACUCGGGGCUCAACCCCGAGCCUGCUUUCGAUACGGGCGGACUAGAGGUAGGUAGGGGAGAACGGAAUUCCUGGUGUAGCGGUGGAAUGCGCAGAUAUCAGGAGGAACACCGGUGGCGAAGGCGACUUACUGGACUGUAACUGACGCUGAGGCGCGAAAGCGUGGGGAGCAAACAGG
rnacentral:rRNA from 1 species